UGAAUUCAUUAGUGAUUGAGGCAUAGCACAUGCAAGUCGAGCGGGGUUUUCGGACCUAGCGGAGGACGGGUGAGUAAUGCGUAGGAAGCUACCUGAUAGAGGGGGAUACCAGUUGGAAACGACUGUUAAUACUAGAUAAUGUCUACGGGGUAAAGUGUGGGACCUUCGGGCAACAUGUUAUAGGAUGGGCCUACGUGGGAUUAGUUAGUUGGUGAGGUAAUGGCUCACGCAAGGAGACGAUCUCUAGUUGGUUUGAGAGGAUGAUCAGGCACACUGGAACUGAGACACGGUCCAGACUCCUACGGGAGGCAGCAGUGGGGAAUAUUGGACAAUGGGCGCAAGCCUGAUCCAGCCAAGGCGCGUGUGUGAAGAAGGCCUUCGGGUUGUAAAGCACAUUGAGUAGGGAGGAAGCGUUGAGUGUUAAUAGUACUCAGCGUUGACGUACCUACAG
rnacentral:rRNA from 1 species